GUUGAACGCUGGCGGCAUGCCUUACACAUGCAAGUCGAACGGUAACAGGUCUUCGGAUGGCUGACGAGUGGCGAACGGGUGAGUAAUACAUCGGAACGUGCCCGAUCGUGGGGGAUAACGGAGCGAAAGCUUUGCUAAUACCGCAUACGAUCUACGGAUGAAAGCAGGGGACCGCAAGGCCUUGCGCGGACGGAGCGGCCGAUGGCAGAUUAGGUAGUUGGUGGGAUAAAAGCUUACCAAGCCGACGAUCUGUAGCUGGUCUGAGAGGACGACCAGCCACACUGGGACUGAGACACGGCCCAGACUCCUACGGGAGGCAGCAGUGAGGAAUUUUGGACAAUGGGCGCAAGCCUGAUCCAGCCAUGCCGCGUGCAGGAUGAAGGCCUUCGGGUUGUAAACUGCUUUUGUACGGAACGAAAAGACUCUGGUUAAUACCUGGGGUCCAUGACGGUACCGUAAGAAUAAGCACCGGCUAACUACGUG
rnacentral:rRNA from 1 species